rnacentral:misc_RNA from 1 species
UUACCUCUCUGAAGUUCUGCGCCA